rnacentral:tRNA from 1 species
GCCCGGAUGGCGGAAUGGCAGACGCAGACGGCUUAAACCCGUCGGCCCAAUUACGGGCGUGGGGGUUCGAAUCCCCCUCCGGGCA